AUGAAAAUCGUCAGUUGGAACUGCCGGGAACUCGGGAACGGCCCGUCAGUUCAAGGUCUCCUCGAUAUGGGGAGGACGGAGGAGCCCGAUAUUGUGUUCUUGGCGGAAACCAUGCUUUUUGAGGCGGAGCUUGAUAGGUUCAGGUGGUCGUUGGGGCUAGCUAACAUGGUUGCAUGGAACCCGGUGGGACAGAGCAGGGGAGUUGCUUUGUUUUGGAGGAGAGGUGUGGAUGUCUCGCUUAGAUCGUACGGCAGAAGACAUAUAGACGUGGAUGUUCUGGAGGACGAAGGAGGGAUGUGGAGGCUGACUGGAGUGUAUGGAGAGUCGGCAGCGGACCAGAAGAAAGAAACAUGGCACAUGAUCAGGUUGCUAGGGUAG
rnacentral:rRNA from 1 species